rnacentral:tRNA from 1 species
AGGCUUAUAACUCAAUUGGUAGAGUACGCAAGUGAUAUUUGUGGAGUUGGUGGUUCAAGUCCACUUAGGCCUA